CACACUUUCGACUAUUUUCGGGCUUUUGUAUCAAUUUAUUAAAGUUUUUAAUUUUCUCUAAUAUUAUUUAAGCUAUUUUAAUUUAAAAUCAAAAUGAGCUAAUUCCGUGACUCAAAAAAUUUUAGCACAGUUGAAAUAAUUUAUUCAAUUAUUUCAGUAUUAGGUCGGAUCUGGUCAUACUAUUUUAUGAAAUUUGAAAAGGACUCCAGCUAAAUAACAUAUGAUCCAGGUUUCAAAAAAAGUUGCUGUUUUGGUGGUUUUUUUGAACAUUUUGUUUUGAACUUUUAAAAAAUGGGAAAUAAGCGCAAGGAAUCGAAUGUAGCUCAGAAUAAAAAUAAUCCUUCCAAACUCCUGAAUAUGUAUACGAGUUGCAAGGAUGGGAAUCGGAACUAGUAUGAGUUAGAAGAAACUGGUUAAUUUCUGAAAUUUGCUUAAGGAUCCAAAGACCAUAGCUCCUCUAAAUGUGAAAUUUAGAAUCCUAAGACUUCAUGAUUGGAUUUCAAGAUCAGUUAAAUUUUUCCUUCCAUACAUAAUCCUAUCUAGAAGGUAAUUUAGAAACCCAAAACAACGUAUUUAAACCCCCAAAAUGAUCAUAUCUACCUACUUAACUGAUCAAUAGGGGUUUCAUGAAAAAUUCUUUAAUAAAAAAACCUUCAAAAUAUGGUUUCUUAUUUGACUAAUUAGAUGUUUGAAAUAAAGCUUCUUG